UGGGGAAUAUUGCACAAUGGGCGCAAGCCUGAUGCAGCGACGCCGCGUGCGGGAUGGAGGCCUUCGGGUUGUAAACCGCUUUUGUUCAAGGGCAAGGCACGGCUUCGGCCGGUGUUGAGUGGAUGUUCGAAUAAGCACCGGCUAACUACGUGCCAGCAGCCGCGGUAAUACGUAGGGUGCGAGCGUUAUCCGGAUUUAUUGGGCGUAAAGGGCUCGUAGGCGGUUCGUCGCGUCCGGUGUGAAAGUCCAUCGCCUAACGGUGGAUCUGCGCCGGGUACGGGCGGGCUGGAGUGCGGUAGGGGAGACUGGAAUUCCCGGUGUAACGGUGGAAUGUGUAGAUAUCGGGAAGAACACCAAUGGCGAAGGCAGCGUACCGGCGCCGGACUGACGCUGAGGCACGAAAGCGUGGGUAUCGAACAGGAUUAGAUACCC
rnacentral:rRNA from 1 species